rnacentral:rRNA from 1 species
GGCCUGUAGAGUAUAAUUUCAGGUCUAACCUGCCCACUGAUAUUUAAAGGGCCGCGGUAUAUUGACCGUGCAAAGGUAGCAUAAUCAUUAGUUUUUUAAUUAAAAGCUUGUAUGAAAGGUUUGAUGAGAGAAAAUCUGUCUCUUUGAGAGUUUAUUUGAAUUUUAUUUUUAAGUAAGAAAGCUUAAAUUUUUAUAGAAGACGAGAAGACCCUAUAGAGUUUUAUAUUUAGGUUUUUAAAAAGUUGAGGGGUAAUGAGUUUUUAAAAAUUUUAAUUAUUUUAUUGGGGUGAUAGAAAAAUUGAGUUAACUUUUUCUUAAUUUUAACAUUGAUUUAUGGGUGGUUGAUCCUAAAUUUUAGAUUAAAAGAUUAAAUUACCUUAGGGAUAACAGCGUAAUUUUUCUUAGAGUUCUUAUCGAAUGAAAAGUUUGCGACCUCGAUGUUGGAUUAAAAUUAAUUGUUGGUGUAGAAGCUAGUGGAUUAGGUCUGUUCGACCUUUAAAAUUUUACAUGAUCUGAGUUUAGACCGGCGUGAG